UACGAAGGGAGCUAGCGUUGUUCGGAAUCACUGGGCGUAAAGCGCACGUAGGCGGAUGUGUCAGUCAGGGGUGAAAUCCCGGAGCUCAACUUCGGAACUGCCCUUGAUACAGCACGUCUUGAGUCCGGAAGAGGUGGGUGGAAUUCCUAGUGUAGAGGUGAAAUUCGUAGAUAUUAGGAAGAACACCGGUGGCGAAGGCGGCCCACUGGUCCGGUACUGGACGCUGAGGUGCGAAAGCGUGGGGAGCAAACAGG
rnacentral:rRNA from 1 species